rnacentral:rRNA from 1 species
AGAGUUUGAUCCUGGCUCAGGAUAAACGCUGGCGGCGUGCCUAACACAUGCAAGUCGAACGCGCUCGUGGUUUCCAUGAGUGAGUGGCGGACGGGUGAGGAACACGUGGGUUAUCUACCUUGAGGUGAGGAAUACCGGCGAGAAAUCGCCGACAAUACCGCAUAGGUUUCGCAAGAAACAAAGCUUCUUCGGAAGCGCCA